rnacentral:lncRNA from 1 species
CAACAUUGUUAGACUGCAUUCAUUUUGAAACAACAAAAUAAAUAAUGCUAGUUAAUUUAGAUAAUAUAUAUAUAAUUAUUUUUAUUAUUGUGUAUCCUAGAAUUCAAUACUUUUUAUUCAUGCUCCCAGGAAUAAUUGAAUAGAUCAAGUUCCUGAGUCAAUUAUUUGAUAUUUUUUAUGCUAAUAUGCUAAAUAACUAUGUAUCCAAUAAUAGAGGAAAUCUAACUGCUUUUCUAUAAAAUAAAACUCAGAAAAAUUCAGUUCUAUACCAAUAGAAUGUCAGUAAUCUAAGAAAUACUUGUAUUAUGAAUCUAGAUUUAUAAUUAUUGACUUGGAAUUUGAAUUAUUAAUAUAGAUAUAAAUUUUUUACAUGAAUAUUAAUGCUAUUUUGAAAAAUAUAACAUUUAUUUUAGAUACAGCAUCCAUUAUUUUUAUUCGCUAAUUUGGAUAUAUAAAAAUGAAAUUAUAUAAUCAGGCCCGUGCCGUCAAUACGUGCAAGGUUGGACAGUGCAUGAUGGCACCGGACUCUACCAUUUUAAAAAACUCAAAGCAAGAAAAAAAAAUAUUUCUCUUCAAAAAACCAAAUUUAACUUUUCAUUAUAUCUAUGAUGAUGGUGAAAUUCUAAUACCUGUUAAAACAAGCAGUCCAUCUCACUCUUUAGCU